UACGGGGGGGGCGAAGCGUUGUUCGGAAUUACUGGGCGUAAAGGGCUCGUAGGUGGCCAACUAAGUCAGACGUGAAAUCCCUCGGCUUAACCGGGGAACUGCGUCUGAUACUGGAUGGCUUGAGUUUGGGAGAGGGACGCGGAAUUCCAGGUGUAGCGGUGAAAUGCGUAGAUAUCUGGAGGAACACCGGUGGCGAAGGCGGCGUCCUGGACCAACACUGACACUGAGGAGCGAAAGCCAGGGGAGCAAACGGG
rnacentral:rRNA from 1 species